GAUGAACGCUGGCGGCGUGCCUAAUACAUGCAAGUCGAGCGAACGGACGAGAAGCUUGCUUCUCUGAUGUUAGCGGCGGACGGGUGAGUAACACGUGGAUAACCUACCUAUAAGACUGGGAUAACUUCGGGAAACCGUAGCUAAUACCGGAUAAUAUUUUGAACCGCAUGGUUCAAAAGUGAAAGACGGUCUUGCUGUCACUUAUAGAUGGAUCCGCGCUGCAUUAGCUAGUUGGUAAGGUAACGGCUUACCAAGGCAACGAUGCAUAGCCGACCUGAGAGGGUGAUCGGCCACACUGGAACUGAGACACGGUCCAGACUCCUACGGGAGGCAGCAGUAGGGAAUCUUCCGCAAUGGGCGAAAGCCUGACGGAGCAACGCCGCGUGAGUGAUGAAGGUCUUCGGAUCGUAAAACUCUGUUGUUAGGGAAGAACAUAUGUGUAAGUAACUGUGCACACCUUGACGGUACCUAAUCAGAAAGCCACGGCUAACUACGUG
rnacentral:rRNA from 1 species